UUUAGGAGAAAAGCUCCUCCGGAUAGCUCGGGAUUCGACUACACUUGGACAAAAGAUCCUCUGAAGUUUGAUAACUCCUACUUCAUUGAGCUUCUGAAAGGGGACUCCAACGGACUCAUGAAGCUGCUUACAGACAAGGACGCGUUCUUCAGGGACUACGCGAAGUCGCACAAGAAGCUUUCCAAGCUCUACUUUACUGGCGUGGACAUGCAGAGACAAAGCCAAGAGGGCUGUCAUAAGAACUAUCAUUGUCUUCCCAGUUGCGGUUGUCGUCAUCGCCUGCGCUUACAUCUUUGAAUCAAAGAGAAGGCUCAGUGGUUAGACUGCAAGUCUCCAUGUUUAGACGAUUGCGAUUCAGUUAUGGGUUCUGAAGAACAAAGUUCAUCGUCCAUUGAGAUGUUGUGCACUCGUAGUUGUAACUAAUCUGUUGAUACAGUGACGAUGCUACCAUCCAUGUAAUACUAGUACAAAUGCCCGUGCGUUGCAACGGGCGAUAAAAUUAAUAGAACCUGCCCUGUGUGU